UGACUGCGUACCUUUUGUAUAAUGGGUCAGCGACUUAUAUUCUGUAGCAAGGUUAACCGAAUAGGGGAGCCGGAGGGAAACCGAGUCUUAAUUGGGCGUUAAGUUGCAGGGUAUAGACCCGAAACCCGGUGAUCUAGCCAUGGGCAGGUUGAAGGUUGGGUAACACUAACUGGAGGACCGAACCGACUAAUGUUGAAAAAUUAGCGGAUGACCUGUGGCUGGGGGUGAAAGGCCAAUCAAACCGGGAGAUAGCUGGUUCUCCCCGAAAGCUAUUUAGGUAGCGCCUCGUGAAUUCAUCUCCGGGGGUAGAGCACUGUUUCGGCUAGGGGGCCAUCCCGGCUUACCAACCCGAUGCAAACUGCGAAUACCGGAGAAUGUUAUCACGGGAGACACACGGCGGGUGCUAACGUCCGUCGUGAAGAGGGAAACAACCCAGACCGCCAGCUAAGGUCCCAAAGUCAUGGUUAAGUGGGAAACGAUGUGGGAAGGCCCAGACAGCCAGGAUGUUGGCUUAGAAGCAGCCAUCAUUUAAAGAAAGCGUAAUAGCUCACUGGUCGAGUCGGCCUGCGCGGAAGAUGUAACGGGGCUAAACCAUGCACCGAAGCUGCGGCAGCGACACUCAGGUGUUGUUGGGUAGGGGAGCGUUCUGUAAGCCUGCGAAGGUGGCCUGUGAGGGUUGCUGGAGGUAUCAGAAGUGCGAAUGCUGACAUAAGUAACGAUAAAGCGGGUGAAAAGCCCGCUCGCCGGAAGACCAAGGGUUCCUGUCCAACGUUAAUCGGGGCAGGGUGAGUCGACCCCUAAGGCGAGGCCGAAAGGCGUAGUCGAUGGGAAACGGGUUAAUAUUCCCGUACUUGGUGUUACUGCGAAGGGGGGACGGAGAAGGCUAUGUUGGCCGGGCGACGGUUGUCCCGGUUUAAGCGUGUAGGCUGUGUGUUCCAGGCAAAUCCGGUUCAAAAUCAAGGCUGAGGCGUGACGACGAGGCACUACGGUGCUGAAGCAACAAAUGCCCUGCUUCCAGGAAAAGCCUCUAAGCAUCAGGUAACAUCAAAUCGUACCCCAAACCGACACAGGUGGUCAGGUAGAGAAUACCAAGGCGCUUGAGAGAACUCGGGUGAAGGAACUAGGCAAAAUGGUGCCGUAACUUCGGGAGAAGGCACGCUGACAUGUAGGUGAAGUGAUUUACUCAUGGAGCUGAAGUCAGUCGAAGAUACCAGCUGGCUGCAACUGUUUAUUAAAAACACAGCACUGUGCAAACACGAAAGUGGACGUAUACGGUGUGACGCCUGCCCGGUGCCGGAAGGUUAAUUGAUGGGGUCAGCGCAAGCGAAGCUCCUGAUCGAAGCCCCGGUAAACGGCGGCCGUAACUAUAACGGUCCUAAGGUAGCGAAAUUCCUUGUCGGGUAAGUUCCGACCUGCACGAAUGGCGUAAUGAUGGCCAGGCUGUCUCCACCCGAGACUCAGUGAAAUUGAACUCGCUGUGAAGAUGCAGUGUACCCGCGGCAAGACGGAAAGACCCCGUGAACCUUUACUAUAGCUUGACACUGAACAUUGAGCCUUGAUGUGUAGGAUAGGUGGGAGGCUUUGAAGUGUGGACGCCAGUCUGCAUGGAGCCGACCUUGAAAUACCACCCUUUAAUGUUUGAUGUUCUAACGUGGACCCGUGAUCCGGGUUGCGGACAGUGUCUGGUGGGUAGUUUGACUGGGGCGGUCUCCUCCUAAAGAGUAACGGAGGAGCACGAAGGUUGGCUAAUCCUGGUCGGACAUCAGGAGGUUAGUGCAAUGGCAUAAGCCAGCUUGACUGCGAGCGUGACGGCGCGAGCAGGUGCGAAAGCAGGUCAUAGUGAUCCGGUGGUUCUGAAUGGAAGGGCCAUCGCUCAACGGAUAAAAGGUACUCCGGGGAUAACAGGCUGAUACCGCCCAAGAGUUCAUAUCGACGGCGGUGUUUGGCACCUCGAUGUCGGCUCAUCACAUCCUGGGGCUGAAGUAGGUCCCAAGGGUAUGGCUGUUCGCCAUUUAAAGUGGUACGCGAGCUGGGUUUAGAACGUCGUGAGACAGUUCGGUCCCUAUCUGCCGUGGGCGCUGGAGAACUGAGGGGGGCUGCUCCUAGUACGAGAGGACCGGAGUGGACGCAUCACUGGUGUUCGGGUUGUCAUGCCAAUGGCACUGCCCGGUAGCUAAAUGCGGAAGAGAUAAGUGCUGAAAGCAUCUAAGCACGAAACUUGCCCCGAGAUGAGUUCUCCCUGAGACUUUAGGUCUCCUGAAGGAACGUUGAAGACGACGACGUUGAUAGGCCGGGUGUGUAAGCGCAGCGAUGCGUUGAGCUAACCGGUACUAAUGAACCGUGAGGCUUAACCUU
rnacentral:rRNA from 1 species